rnacentral:tRNA from 1 species
UGGAAUGUAGCUGAGUGGUACAGUGCUUGCCUAGCAAGCAUGAGGUCCUGCGUUCAAUUCCUGGUACCAA